CCUUGACAUACUAAGAACUUUCCAGAGAUGGAUUGGUGCCUUCGGGAACUUAGAUACAGGUGCUGCAUGGCUGUCGUCAGCUCGUGUCGUGAGAUGUUGGGUUAAGUCCCGCAACGAGCGCAACCCUUUUCCUUAUUUGCCAGCGGGUCAUGCCGGGAACUUUUAAGGAUACUGCCAGUGACAAACUGGAGGAAGGCGGGGACGACGUCAAGUCAUCAUGGCCCUUACGGCCAGGGCUACACACGUGCUACAAUGGUCGGUACAAAGGGUUGCUACCUCGCGAGAGGAUGCUAAUCUCAAAAAGCCGAUCGUAGUCCGGAUCGCAGUCUGCAACUCGACUGCGUGAAGUCGGAAUCGCUAGUAAUCGCGGAUCAGAAUGCCGCGGUGAAUACGUUCCCGGGCCUUGUACACACCGCCCGUCACACCAUGGGAGUUUGUUGCACCAGAAGUAGGUAGUCUAACCGCAAGGAGGACGCUUACCACGGUGUGGCCGAUGACUGGGGUGAAGUCGUAACAAGGUAGGCGUAGAUGA
rnacentral:rRNA from 1 species